rnacentral:rRNA from 1 species
UACGUAGGGUGCGAGCGUUAAUCGGAAUUACUGGGCGUAAAGCGUGCGCAGGCGGCUUUGCAAGACAGAUGUGAAAUCCCCGGGCUCAACCUGGGAACUGCAUUUGUGACUUCAAGGCUAGAGUACGGCAGAGGGGGAUGGAAUUCCGCGUGUAGCAGUGAAAUGCGUAGAUAUGCGGAGGACCACCAAUGGCGAAGGCAAUCCCCUGGGCCUGUACUGACGCUCAUGCACGAAAGCGUGGGGAGCAAACAGG